AACCAAAGGGGGGAAGGUCGAAGACUUACCCCGAUCAAUGAUGUGUAGGUGCCCGACUCAAUUUUUUAGAUCGGGCGAGUCUUCCUGACAUCCCAGUCUGCAGACAGCAUGACCAUUUUUGCCAACUCUUCAGAGAGUCGGCUAUCUUGAAGUGCCUGGUCGGUAGCCUUGAAGCGCAUUCUGAUUGUGAUGGUGGGCUCCCUGGAAGGUGUACCUAGACCGUAGUCUGCAGUA
rnacentral:lncRNA from 1 species